GUGCGUCUGUGUGUCUGAGCGUGGGUGUGUGCGUGUGUGUGUGCGUCUGUGUGUCUGAGCCUGGGUGUGUGUGUGUGUGUGUGCGUCUGUGUGUCUGAGCGUGGGUGUGUGUGUGUGUGUGUGCGUCUGUGUGUCUGAGCCUGGGUGUGUGUGUGUGUGUGUGUGUGUGUGUGUGUGUGCGUCUGUGUGUCUGAGCCUGGGUGUGUGUGUGUGUGUGCGUCUGUGUGUCUGAGCCUGGGUGUGUGUGUGUGUGUGUGCGUCUGUGUGUCUGAGCCUGGGUGUGUGUGUGUGUGUGUGUGUGUGUGUGCAUGUUUCAGUGGUAGGGAGUGUUUUGGGCAUUACUCUGGAUGGAGAAACACAGAAGAGAAAGGAAGGAGACAGAGGAUGAUGAAGGGGAACAUGAGGAGGAUGAAGGGUAAUAGGAGGAGGAUGAAGGGGAACAUGAGGAGGAUGAAGGGUAAUAGGAGGAGGAUGAAGGGGAACAUGAGGAGGAUGAAGGGUAAUAGGAGGAGGAUGAAGGGUAAUAGGAGGAGGAUGAAGGGUAAUAGGAGGAGGAUGAAGGGUAAUAGGAGGAGGAUGAAGGGGAACAUGAGGAGGAUUAAGGGUAAUAGGAGGAGGAUGAAGGGGAACAUGAGGAGGAUGAAGGGUAAUAGGAGGAGGAUGAAGGGGAACAUGAGGAGGAGGAAGGGUAAUAGGAGGAGGAUGAAGGGGAACAUGAGGAGGAUGAAGGGUAAUAGGAGGAGGAUGAAGGGGAACAUGAGGAGGAGGAAGGGUAAUAGGAGGAGGAUGAAGGGGAACAUGAGGAGGAUUAAGGGUAACAUGAGGAGGAUUAAGGGUAAUAGGAGGAGGAUGAAGGGGAACAUGAGGAGGAGGAAGGUUACAUGAGGAGGAGGAAGGGUAAUAGGAGGAGGAUGAAGGGGAACAUGAGGAGGAGGAAGGUAACAUGAGGAGGAGGAAGGUAACAUGAGGAGGAUGAAGGGUAAUAGGAGGAGGAUGAAGGGGAACAUGAGGAGGAGGAAGGUAACAUGAGGAGGAAGGUAACAUGAGGAGGAUGAAGGGUAAUAGGAGGAGGAUGAAGGGUAACAUGAGGAGGAUGAAAGUAACAUGAGGA
ensembl:lncRNA